rnacentral:rRNA from 1 species
UACAGAGGGUGCAAGCGUUAAUCGGAAUUACUGGGCGUAAAGCGUGCGUAGACGGUUAUGUAAGUCAGAUGUGAAAGCCCCGGGCUUAACCUGGGAAUGGCAUUUGAGACUGCAUAGCUAGGGUGCGGAAGAGGGAAGCGGAAUUUCCGGUGUAGCGGUGAAAUGCGUAGAUAUUCGGAAGAACACCAGUGGCGAAGGCGACACACUGGCCCAUUACUGACGCUGAGGCGCGAAAGCGUGGGGAGCAAACAGG